UAAACAGAAGACUAGGGCUGUGCUGGACCUGUGAGACAGAAGGAGCACUGACCCCUCAGGCAUCAUGUGGAGGAGCUGACUGGUCAUGAACUUUCACUAUGGACUAUUUAGGGUGUCUGAGAAGCAGAACGACGCCAUCAAACCCAAACUCCAAACAACUUGGAAGUAUUGAGUGAAGGCAGAGACCCCGAAGCCACACAUAGAAUGCUUUACAAGCCUGUAAUUGUCCUCAAGGACAACGUGAGCAGAAAGGAGACAGAACUUCACUUAAGCUGAAUGAAAUUCCAUUGGUACAAGCUUCACAUUUCAUCAUCUAAUCACCUCUUAACACCACCUGGGAUGCUUCCAUUUCCUCACCAUUGGAAAAGAAUGGCAACAAACAUGGAGGUGCGUGCGUCUCUGUGGUAGGAUAUGGAGCCAGUUCAGUAUAGAUCCAAGAGUGGUAUAGCUGUGUUGUGCAGGAGUCCUGGUUUUUGCCUGUUGGAGAAAUGACCACACUGGUCUCCACAAUAGCUUUACUUGUUUGUAUUGCCAUCUGUCAUGAAUUCUUUCCCUAUAUCCUCACCAGCAUCUGUUCUCACAUGCCUGAUGAUAGCCAUUCUGACUGGGGUGGAGUGCUGUCUCAGAAUAAUUUUAAUUUGCAUUUCCAUACUUGCUAUAGACGUUGAAGAUUUAAAAAAAAUUAUUAGUCAUUUGUGGAAUUGUUGUUUGUUUGUUUUGAGAAUUGCCAAUUCAUUUCAUUAUUCCAGUUGUUGAUUGGCAGUUUUGUUAGGAGGUAUUUAAUUUUUAUAGCUCCUUACAAAUUCUGGUAUCCCUCUGCCUUAAUUAGUACCUGCAAGGAUUUUAUCCCAUUUGUAGGCUGUUUGCUCUACUGCUAGAUUUUGGGUUUGGUUGGUUGGGACAUUUUUGGGUGUGAGACUUAUGCAGAAGUUUUUAAAUUUCGUAUAAUCCCAUUUGUUGAUUCCUAGGGCUGUUUCCUCUGCUGUUGGAGUUCUCAGAAAACUGUUUCCUGUACCUAAGUCUUGACCUGCACUAUCUGUUUUCCUCUAGUCAGGGUUUCAGGUUGUACACUAAGGACUCUGAUGCACUCUGAAUCAUUUUUUUUUUCAGUGUAAAGGGUACAGAUCUAAUUCCAUCCAGCUGCAGGUGGCCACCCAAUCUUGGAAGCACCAUGCAUCAUCACUGAAUGAUUUGAUACAUGUGUCCAUAUCAUCGUCUGUUUUCUUCUGAGUACUCUACUCUGUCCCACCUAUUCUUGUCUACCUGUCACCUAUUAUGCCUUUACCAGGCCGUGUUUGUCAAUAUAACUCUAUAGCAUUUCCUCUAAAAUAACAAAACAACAACAACAAAAGCCAACAACAACAACAACAACAACAAAAUAACAAAAACAAAAA